CGGGCUGCACCGAGUCCGCGGGUCUCUAGCGCACGGCCUGGCCCCACGUGCGGCGAGGAGGGCGCAGUGAAGUUCUGCUGUGUGCACCCCCUGCAGCUCGGCCGGGAAGCGCCCGCUGGAGGAACGGAGAGCGCCGCUUCAGCGUCGGCCACGUGGGCCGGGCUCUGCCGGUGGCAACCUGGACGCGCUGCGGGCGCCGGCGAGACCUGCGCCAACGCCUACCUCCGGGCCACAGGCGGGAUAAAGCUGCCCCACUUUGCCCCCAGCGAAGAGAACCCUCCUUCCUCUAAGAAGGUGAAAUAAGACAGAAGAAAAGGGUUAGAACUUUAGAACUCCAGGACCCAACCUCAGUCCUUUCAAGCACCGUCUGCAAACAGAUGCUGUGCUAGACUCAGCACCCUGUCUGGUGAAACUGCUCCUUGGGGUGACAUCGGUCGAAUGUGUGAGAGGCUUCAGCGGAUGCCCUGACUUUUACACCAUGGAAGGGCUUUCUCCUCACUCUCCAUUCUUCAUCCCACUCCAUCCAUGCGCUUUCUCCCCUCCCCAUGGGGUGGGGUGGGGGAGUCUUUCCUCCAGCUGAGAGCAGAGGCCUUGGCCAACUAGAUGUGUCUUCUGGGAUUUCACAGUCGGGCCACCUCUCACCUCUUGCACAGGCUGGUGGGUUAAAUGAAACUCCUGUAGCAACUCACAGAGCAUUUGAUUUAAAGCUAAGAUUUAUAGGAACUCACAAGUCAGAAUGGAACAAUAAUUUCCCUCCGGUUGCACUGCCACUACUGAGGAGCAAUCGCCUAAUUCCACACAGAGUUUGCUGAUUCUGUGGGCCUAACAGAGAACUCCAGAUGGGCAACUAGGAGCUAAGAAGUGCAUCCUAUGUCACCAGGAGCUAAUUUUCCCUGGAUUUUCAAAGAGGCCUCAUAUUUGACCCAUGUCAUGGCAGGGUGAAAUAUAAGUCCUUCCUGAACCCUUGGAAGCUGAACGUUGUGGACAUCAGCCAUGGGAAAUACAUUUCCUUUAAACUGAUCACCAGGCCUUAGUAUGAUCCAUGCCUUGAGUGGACAGAGACCUUUCAUGUUUGGUCAUUACUCAGCCAGACACUUCUCUGAGAGGUGAUGACUUCCCUAGGAAGGAAUAACAAAGCCCCUUUCAGGCUGUUGAUGGGCCCUGUCCACUUUAAUUUUGCAUUCAGCCUCGCUCAUUUCUGUGAGCUGAGAUUUUGAUUAUUCUGAUUUCCACGACUCCUUUUGUGAAACAGAGACACUGAGGUGAAUGCACGGGCCCAGUCCCCUCCUUUUUGAGUGUGCCCUCGGAAGCAGAGGCAGGUGGUGUUGCCGAAACACCCAGGUUCUGUCUAGGUCCUGCCGCUCCCUGCACAGAAAGCCAAUCACAGAGAUGACAAGUAUUGCCAAGGAAGAAGGCUUUAAUCAGGUGCUGUAGCUGAGAAGAUGGGAGCCCAGUCUCAAAUCCAUCUCCCCAUCCACCUAAAACUAGGGGUUUAUACACCAGGGAAGAAAGAUAACAGUGUGUAAGAAAACAGGAACUACGGAGGGGCAAGGAAGCAGUCACAAUGUAGGGUAUCUCAUUGUCUGGAUGUGUUGAUCUGUGAAAUAUGACAAACAGAGGAAAGUGCAUUAAAACCUGAGUGUUGACUGCUGGUUCCCCCAAGAUGGAGAGUCCCAUUCCUCCCAGACACUCCCUCUUACAGGUAAAAUAUCUGGACAUAACACAACAGACAGCAGAAGAAGACUCUGAAAGCUGGAGGAAGGAAGAAAAAAAGCCUAGGGACCUCAGACCUUGAAGAAUGACAGGUGUGAGUCCUUGGAUUUCCUUAUCACCCCCCACCCCACCCCGCCCUUACCCUGGAUGAGGCACUGCAGAAGCCUCCAACCAGAAACCACCAGCAGGCACAGACAAGCUCUAAGAAAGGCCUGGUCCCCCCUGGUCAAAGCACAGAGGAAAGGCUGGCCUGACAACAAAAGGAAACCUUUUUGGCAAUACCCACCCUAUCCCAGCAAAAGUCUAGUGGGCCUAACAGAACCUUCUAGCCCCACCUGUAGCCUCUGCUCUGCAGAAGCUGAUUGAGUGCUUGAACUCUCUGGCCUAGUAGGGUGAGCACUCGAGCUGGGAGCUAAUCCUCUGUUCCCUUGGCAGGGCAAACCCAAAUGGGUAAACACAAAAAAAAUAAUUAAACUUCUUAACAUCAUAAACACCCAAAACUACAAACAAAGGAGAAAAUAUUGAAAGAACCAGAGAGAAAUGAAGCAUUAUUCAUGAGGAAUAUUUGUUUGAAUGACAGUGGAUUUCUCAUCUUGAAACCAUGGAGGCCAAAAGGAAGAGGCACAACAUUUUUCAAGUUGAAGAUAGAACUUAGAAUCACAAAUCCAAUAGCCACUGAAAACGCCCUUCAGGAAUGAAGGAGAAAUCAGACAUUCUCAGAUGAAAGAAAACUUAAGAGAACUUAUUGCCAACCUAGAAGAAAUGUGCUAAUGUCAAGAAAGCUACAAACUACCAAACUCAACGAGGAUGAUAGAGACAACCUGAAUAGUUCCAUAGCUGCUACAGAAAUUAAAGUUAUAAGCAAACGGCUCACAAAAAAGAAAUCUUCAGAUGAAAAUACUUUAAGGAGUAUUAAUACCAAUUUUACACACUCUAUCUCAGAAAGUAAAAGAAAGAACGUUUCCUGGCUCAUUGUAUAAGGCUAGUAUUACCCUGAUACCAAAAUCAGGAAAAUGCAGUACAGAAAAGAAAGUUAUAGACCACUAUCUCUAUAAAUUUAGACACAAAAUUUAUCAACAAAAUUUUGUAAACCUAAUACAGCAUCGUAUAUAAAAAAUUAUAUACACCAUGAUGAAGUGGGAUUUAUUCCAUAUAUGCAAGUUUGGUUCAAUAUUCCAGAAUCAGUCAAUGUAAUUUACUCUGUUAACCAGGUAAAGAAUAAAAAUGAUUAUAUCAUUUGAUGCAGAAAAAAAGAUUAACACAAUCCUAUGCCCAUUCACGGUAAAAAGUCUCAGCAGACUAGGAAUGGCGGGGAGUGGUGGGGACAAUCCUAAGUUGAGAAAGAGCAUCUAUUUAAAAACCUAGGCUGGGCACAGUAGCUCAUGCCUGUAGUCCCAACACUUUGAGAGGCUGAGAUGGGCGGAUUGCUUGAGCCCAGAAGUUCAAAACUAGCCUGGGCAACAUGGCAAAACCCCGUCUCUUCAAAAAAUACAAAAAUCAGGCUGGGCAAGGUGGCUCACACUUGUAAUCCCAACACUUUGGGAGGUGGAGGUGGGCAGAUCACUUGAGGUCAGGAGUUUCAGACCAGCCUGGCCAACAUGGUGAGACCUCGUCUCUAACAAACAAUACAAAAAUUAGCUGGGCAUGGUGGUG
rnacentral:lncRNA from 10 species